CCUACGGGAGGCAGCAGUGGGGAAUAUUGGACAAUGGGCGAAAGCCUGAUCCAGCCAUGCCGCGUGUGUGAAGAAGGCCUUUUGGUUGUAAAGCACUUUAAGCGAGGAGGAUGCUACUGAGAUUAAUACUCUUGGAUAGUGGACGUUACUCGCAGAAUAAGCACCGGCUAACUCUGUGCCAGCAGCGCGGUAAU
rnacentral:rRNA from 1 species